rnacentral:lncRNA from 1 species
AUAAUCCUAAUUAAAGUUCUGUGAUGGGAUUAGUUUAGAUGUUAAAGAUCUAAGGCUUCAUGUAAAGUCAUGUUUACAAAAUCAUCAAUCAGAAGUUUUUUUUUUUCCAACUGCCUAUAUAAUUAAAUCAGUUCUGAUCGAAAGGGAAAUGAUUUCGAGGAACAACUACAUUCAACUAUGUCUAGUUUAUAUGAAAAAAUAAUAUGCGUCUGGUUAUAGAUUUUUUUAU